rnacentral:rRNA from 1 species
GGCCUCUCGGGGCAUGUGCACACCCGAGCCAUCCCCAACAAACACCGUGGGCCUUCGGGCCCGCGUAUAUUUACUCUGAAUGUGUAUAGAAUGUAAACCAUUUGUUUGCCCUGAAAAAGCAAACGAAAAAAAGUACAACUUUCAACAACGGAUCUCUUGGCUCUCGCAUCGAUGAAGAACGCAGCGAAAUGCGAUAAGUAAUGUGAAUUGCAGAUUUUCAGUGAAUCAUCGAAUCUUUGAACGCACCUUGCGCCCCUUGGUAUUCCGAGGGGCAUGCCUGUUUGAGUGUCAUUAAAUCCUCAACCGCGCCGAUUGAUUUCGGUGGGGCUUGGACUUUGGAGCGUGCUGGCGAAGGUCGGCUCCUCUUUAAAUGCAUCAGCGGAAGAAACCUUUGUCUUUCCUGCCUUCGGUGUGAUAAUUGUGUUGCGCCGYGGUGGAACUUCAACGAUCCGCUUACAAUGGUCUUCGGACGAAACCUCAUGUCAUCUUGACCUCAAAUCAGGUAGGACUACCCGCUGAACUUAAGCAUAUCAAUAAGCGGAGGAAAAG